rnacentral:rRNA from 1 species
UUAUAUGAGAGUUUGAUCCUGGCUCAGGAUGAACGCUGGCGGCGUGCCUAAUACAUGCAAGUCGAACGAGUUCUCGU